UUCUGCACCAAAAAAAAAAAAAAAAAUGGAACAAUAAAAAGAAGAUUAGCAUGGCCCCUGCAUAAGGAUGACAUGCAAAUUUGUGAAGUGUUCCAUAUUAAA